AGAGUUUGAUCCUGGCUCAGGAUGAACGCUAGCGACAGGCUUAACACAUGCAAGUCGAGGGGCAGCGGGGGCGUAGCAAUAUGCCUGCCGGCGACCGGCGCACGGGUGAGUAACACGUAUGUAACCUGCCCUAUGCAGGGGGAUAACCCGGAGAAAUCCGGCCUAAUACCGCGUAAUACCUUAGGGGAGCAUUCUCUUGAGGUUAAAGGAGAGAUCCGGCAUAGGAUGGACAUGCGUCGCAUUAGGUAGACGGCGGGGUAACGGCCCACCGUGCCGACGAUGCGUAGGGGUUCUGAGAGGAAGGCCCCCCACACUGGUACUGAGACACGGACCAGACUCCUACGGGAGGCAGCAGUGAGGAAUAUUGGUCAAUGGCCGAGAGGCUGAACCAGCCAAGUCGCGUGAGGGAAGAAUGUCCUAAGGAUUGUAAACCUCUUUUGUCGGGGAGCAAAAAGGCUCUGCGGAGUCGUAUUGAGAGUACCCGAAGAAAAAGCAUCGGCUAACUCCGUGCCAGCAGCCGCGGUAAUACGGAGGAUGCGAGCGUUAUCCGGAUUUAUUGGGUUUAAAGGGUGCGCAGGCGGCGUGUCAAGCAAGCGGUAAAAUAGCGGGGCUCAACCCCGUCGAGCCGUUUGAACUGGCGCGCUUGAGUUCAGGCGAGGUAGGCGGAAUUCGUGGUGUAGCGGUGAAAUGCAUAGAUAUCACGAAGAACUCCGAUUGCGAAGGCAGCUUACCAGUCUGCGACUGACGCUCAGGCACGAAAGUGUGGGUAUCGAACAGGAUUAGAUACCCUGGUAGUCCACACAGUAAACGAUGAGCGCUAGGUGUCCGGGUCGAAUGAGGCUUGGGUGCCCGAGCGAAAGCGUUAAGCGCUCCACCUGGGGAGUACGCCGGCAACGGUGAAACUCAAAGGAAUUGACGGGGGCCCGCACAAGCGGAGGAACAUGUGGUUUAAUUCGAUGAUACGCGAGGAACCUUACCCGGGCUCAAACGACUCAGGAAUAUAUUGGAAACGAUGUAGCCAGCAAUGGUCUGAGUCGAGGUGCUGCAUGGUUGUCGUCAGCUCGUGCCGUGAGGUGUCGGCUUAAGUGCCAUAACGAGCGCAACCCCUACCGCCAGUUGCCAACGGGUAAAGCCGGGAACUCUGGCGGGACUGCCGGCGCAAGCUGCGAGGAAGGCGGGGAUGACGUCAAAUCAGCACGGCCCUUACGUCCGGGGCGACACACGUGUUACAAUGGCAGGUACAGCGGGAAGCCACCUGGUGACAGGGAGCGGAACCCGAAAGCCUGUCUCAGUUCGGAUUGGAGUCUGCAACUCGACUCCAUGAAGCUGGAUUCGCUAGUAAUCGCGGAUCAGAAUGCCGCGGUGAAUACGUUCCCGGGCCUUGUACUCACCGCCCGUCA
rnacentral:rRNA from 1 species